rnacentral:rRNA from 1 species
GACGAACGCUGGCGGCGUGCUUAACACAUGCAAGUCGAGCGAGGCCCACCUUUCGGGGUGGUGUUCUAGCGGCGAACGGGUGAGUAACACGUGGGCAACCUGCCCUCAGCUCUGGGAUAACUCCAAGAAAUUGGGGCUAAUACCGGAUAUGACCGCUGACCGCAUGGUCUGGUGGUGGAAAGAUUUAUCGGCUGGGGAUGGGCCCGCGGCCUAUCAGCUUGUUGGUGGGGUAGNGGCCUACCAAGGCGACGACGGGUAGCCGGCCUGAGAGGGUGACCGGCCACACUGGGACUGAGACACGGCCCAGACUCCUACGGGAGGCAGCAGUGGGGAAUAUUGCGCAAUGGGCGGAAGCCUGACGCAGCGACGCCGCGUGGGGA